GCAAGUCGAACGAGUACGGACUUCGGUCCAUAUGUACGAGUGGCGAACGGGUGAGUAACACGUGAGAAACCUGCCUCGGAGACCGGGACAACCAUUGGAAACGAUGGCUAAUACCGGAUGUCCUUACAUGAUCGCAUGAUCGUAUAAGGAAAUGAUCCGUCGCUCCGGGAGGGUCUCGCGGCCUAUCAGCUAGUUGGUGAGGUAAUGGCUCACCAAGGCAUCGACGGGUAGCUGGUCUGAGAGGACGAUC
rnacentral:rRNA from 1 species